rnacentral:rRNA from 1 species
CACGGGGGGAGCAAGCGUUGUUCGGAAUCACUGGGCGUAAAGCGCACGUAGGCGGAUGUGUCAGUUAGGGGUGAAAUCCCGGAGCUCAACUUCGGAACUGCCCUUGAUACAGCACGUCUUGAGUCCGGAAGAGGUGGGUGGAAUUCCUAGUGUAGAGGUGAAAUUCGUAGAUAUUAGGAAGAACACCGGUGGCGAAGGCGGCCCACUGGUCCGGUACUGACGCUGAGGUGCGAAAGCGUGGGGAGCAAACAGG